rnacentral:ribozyme from 1 species
GAUCCUCCAUCCUUAUUGUUAUCACCAGAAGAGGAACAGAGAAGGGACGAGAAAAAGAAAUCAAAAAAGAAUAAGAAAAAACGAAAGAGCAAGAGUAAAUCUAGCAUU